AUAGUACCAACUCAGAAAACUUUACACUUGAAGACAACCAGCGCAUCUUCGAACUACCAGUAACUAUCAAAAUAAAGAUGGACUUACACGGAAUUUCAUUUCCAGAAAGAAUCACAUAUAACAAGUCUAUCAUUCUACCUGAAAAUCAGCUUCACACAGAAGACGAUGUCGGACCAGAAGUGGUCCAUGUGUACGAAGUAAGUAGAUCAUCAACAAAGGCCCGAGUACCAUCCAACAAGCAGAAGUUCACAUUCUCUGGCCAGCCUAUACACUGUAUGGCAAACACUUACUCUACUUGAUGGAUCAGCCUAAGGUCAGGGGUAAAGCUCAUUGCCAAGACGUGUUAGAGGUCAACACUCUUUUUUUAAAGAAAGUGUCGAGGAAAAGUGCGAACAGUGAAGCAUUGUUACAAGACUCAGCUGCAGAUAAUAUAAUAAAUAUAACACAUCUGGAGGAGGACAAUUUGUCAAAAAAAAGAAGAAAAGACAACAGCAUGAUGCAGAUGACUUCUUGAACGAUGUGAAAUGUGGUCCAAAUCUGUGUACACGCAUAUACUGCACUUUGUUUAACCUCAACGAAAAUGAUCAAGUUCUCUUCACUAUACGCUCCCGACUGUGGGUGUCAACGAUUGAAGAGAUCGGACUCAGCCAAGUACAAGUGUCAUCGAAGCUGGUAACCCGCGUUUUGGUACUACCUUAUGAUGUCAGUCCCAUUUCUGUUCCUCAUAAAGUUUAUAUGGUUACAACUAAAAUACAUCCAGAUGAUGUCAAACAACGGAAAGUUUUUCUCAGAUGGAUAAUUAUUGCAAUUCCUGGGGGUCUAUUGCUUCUUGCCUUUCUAAUUUGGAGUCUUAUGAAGGUGGGUUUCUUUGACAGAAAGCGUCCCCCAGAAAAGCAGCCACUUCACAGCUCAGAUGAUGAAAAUGGUUACGUUUAUAAUGGUGCAGAUGAAGCACUAUGAUAGAAUACAAGCAAUGAUAAAUAAUUCCAGAGCAAGUGAGUAGCAACAUCUCACCAAAACAUUUUGAUUUCAAGACUUAACAGGAGACCUAUAAUAUUUAGAAAUAUUUGUAGCUAUUCACGAACUGUCACGGUAUGUAUGUACUUAUGUGUGGAUAUGUGUAAUCAAAACACAGUUUGCUUUGAGAGUAAUACCUACUUAUAUACAACUCUGUUGUUUGUAUAAUACCUGAAUGUCAUAAACAAGGAUUGUACAAUUUUUAAACUGGAAUUAGCUUCAACUAUUUUGCUCAGGAAAUAUCAUCAUGAGAAUAUAUGAAAAAUUUAAGAUAUCGCAAGCAGGAGUAGACACGUAAAAUUCUUGGUAUAAAAAGUUGAUGUCAGUUUUUAUAUAUAUUUAAAUAUAUUAGCCCCAUAGUUAUCUUGAGAUGUCAGAUAUCAAUGUUUUUUUUAAUCACAUUUUAUCUAAUUUCUGUGUUUAAAUCAGUUUUUUCCUUGAUAACACAGGCCCGCGAAUUUAAGCUUUAUAAAAGUUGUUUUAAUCUUAAUUCACAUAAUUCAGCUACGCAGAUUUCGAAACUAAUAUUUUUUUUCUAUCACGUAAGGAUUUCUUAC